AGCUUCACAACAUCACUGUGAGAUGAGUAAAUAUCACUAUCCACCUCAUGUAGUGGAGGAAAUUGAGGAAUGGAGUAGACUAUUUAUGUCCAAAAGACCAACAUAUAAGCAUCCUAUGAUGAAAUCAGCACACAUUAACAUCACAAACGAAGGCCAAGUAGGCAGGCCACCAACAAGAACCAAAACAUCAACCACAAGUCUAAUAAACCUCUUGCAACCUUCCUAAUGACAAAAGUGGAAACUAUUCCCGGUUAACGUAAGGACUAGGAAAGGAAUGGGAUUAAUACAUGGGGGGGGGAAAUCGGUGGGGGGAGGAAGGAAAAACACACAGGUAAUCAAAAGUCAAAUAGGGAUGAACCUGAAAUAGUACAUAGGGCACUAUGCAAAGCCUAACAUCAACCCUAAACUGAGAAAGCGCUGUUGUAGAUUUGCUCCUAAGAACCAAAAGCCAGUCCCACCUAACUGACUGUAACUUCAGGGCAGAGACAUAGAACAAGAGACAUUACUCAAUUACUGAGUGCCUAGAUUAUGAAAGGCUGAUUAAAGCAGUACCAGAAUUGCAAAUUAAGUGACUAGAGGCAUAAGGAAUACAGCUCCCAGUGAAGUCACAGCAGGAGCAAAUGUGGUUCACUUGUAAGGUUCACUUGAAAGCAACUCUCUUCCUGGGAGCAGUCAGUGUAGGUAGAUUGACAUCACCUCACUUUUCUUAAUCAAAGGAAUAGAACAUCAGCAUGACAGCUUUCACAACAAUGCAAAAAUAGACACAGAGCUUAAACUACCUUUCCCCAUUUGAGUUCAGUGGAAAGAUUCCCAUUGACUUUGGAUCAGACACAAACACAAGAGGGCAUUGCUUGGUCCCAAUGACAAGAAAUUAACUCUAGCUCACCUUGUAUAGGUGUCCAAGGAAGAUCUUAAACAGUGGCUUCUUGGGAACCAGAAGGGAGAGAAUGCCUUGUGAAUGCUGGACUCCACAGCUGGAGGUUACAGGAUCAAGCUGAACUCCAGGAAAGGGCACUUUUCUGUUUACUCUGAUUAGAUUAAUCUAAUUAACUUCAAGUACUGAAGCUCAUGCUGUAAAUCAGUGGCAAAACUGGGACUAGAAUACAGUCCUGGCUCUCAAUUCCAUUUUUUAUCCUUCUUCAUGUCAACUAAGUGCUCUCACUACUAGCCCCUAUCUCUUCCUUAUCCUUCAACUUAGAUAGUGAUAGCCACUUGCUGACCCUAGGUUUUGUAAAUCUAACAGGAUGAUCAUCCUCAAACAAUUAGAAAUUGCUAGUGAUACCUGAUUCACUUGAUCUCCGAGGGGUAUUUCAUUCAUUUGAAUAGUUCAUACUUAUGAAGGUCAUUUAUUAAUAUAAAACUCCCCAGAUACAUUUUACAUGGCUCAGUUUGUUCUCCAGAAAAGAUCAGAAGAGGCUUUUCAGAAUAAUGUGGAAUUCUUGUGUGACCUGCUUAGGGUACAAUAACUUGAGGUCAUUAUACAACUAGAAAUUCAGCUCAUUGAGUUGCUGACAGUACAGCAAUGAGGGAGGCUACAGGAGGAUAAACUGAGUUAUGACUAGAAGAGAGUCAUGGAUAACUUGACAUGGGGAGAUGGAACCUACUUGGCUCUGACCAGGUCAGUGUUAAACAAAACUGAAAUGUUAUUUAUAAAUAGACUCUGGAUUGAAUUCUGUACUGUCACUUUAACACAGUGGAAUCUGAACCAGUGUCUCCAUUUGCAGUUGAGAACAACAGGUGGUCAAUCUAAAACUUGCAACUUCCUAAUAAUGGGCCAAAUUCUUCCUUCUCUAGGAAGAAACUAUACAGGAGAGGAAACUAUACAAGGUCAACUACCUGCAUUUAUUCCAGAGGUGGGCAAACUAUGGCCCAUGGGACUGUCCUGCCUGGCCCUUGAGCUCCUGGCUGGGGAGGCUAGCCCCGGGACCCUCCCCUGCUAUCCCCCCUUCUCUCACAGCCUCAGCUCUCUGUCCCGCCAGCGCUUUGGGCAACAGGGCUGUGAGCUCCUGCCGGGAAGCGCGACAGUGUGGCUGGCUCCAGUCGGGAGCUCAACUGUGUGGUGAUGACCUCCCUUUGGCAUGAGGAAAUGGAAAAUGGCACUGGGACUUAAGUGAGUUUGUUCUCUGCAUCGUAAGAUAGUUUAAGGUUUCUAUUUUGCAGUGUUGAUGUGAAACCUGCAAUAUUGAUGUUUUUUCCUUAGGUUAAGAAAAAUGAGGUAAUCUCAGUGCAGCUAAACUGGUUGCUCCCAGGAAAAGAGAGCUAAGAGUGACACCUGUAAUUAGCAAUCAUGAGCCACACCUGCCCCUGCUAUAAGCAGGCAUAGCUUCCAUUGAUUUCACUGGGAGCUGUGAUCCUUAUUCCAGAGAUGAAUUUGGUCUAGUCUCCAUAGUGUAGCAGUUUGAAAAUUCACGGAGUAUGAGAUGUUACAAGAAUGUUCCUUAUUUGGUGCCUUAUAUUUUAGAGUGAAGCUCACUUGUCCCUUUUUAUAAGGGAUGUCCUUUGAUGCCUAACAUUUAGCAUCAAGAAUCGGAUCAAUUAGUGUAGAUUGGUAUAGCUCCAUUGGCUUCUACAUAUUUUCUGUAUUUCAACAACAAUCAUGCAAAGGAUCACAUAAUGAUACAAAUAUAUGAUUUUCUGCAAUGGAUAAAACAUUGUGUGGGGCUGCCUCUUUACAAUUAAGCUUUGUCUCAUGUCCUUUUUCCAUCUGUUUUUUAUUUCUUUGCGAGGUAAGAAGCUACUGUAGCAAAGAGAGGUAAUGGAGCCAAGAAUGAAUCAAGAAUGGCCUCAUGCUUGCUUUUUAAAAGGGCACAAACCCCUAAUAAAGCUGGAAAAUUCAGGAAGUCAGCGUAACUCAGUGGCAAGAAACUUUCCAUAUUUAUUCUACUGAGUUAUGGCUAUUUACAUUAGCUGUGAGACCCAGGAAGAGGCAAUCUGGGGCCCCUUAUUUUAAUGUUGGAAAUAAUUUUUUCCUCCAAAAAUGGGGAAUUGAGAAUAUGGCUAUGGGAUAAUUUUGCAUGGGAAUUGGAUCAGAUGGCUUAUAAACUAAAUUCUGCUUGUUACGCUGAUGUUCAGUACCUGGGUAUUGAAGUCUGUGGGAGAACGCGUUGGGGUAAUUAUAACUGGCUUCACUGUGGCUGCACAUGGAUGAGGGCAGAAUUUGGCCCAUAGCCUUUUGGAGAUUCGUGUGAUUUUAGGGGAAGUCCCAUCAGAAGCGUUUAAAGGAGCUACAAAGGUUUCCAUUCUGGCUGUUCACCCAGGAAAGGGUCUCUAACAGCUGUUUAUCCUACUGUUGACAACAUAUUUGAACUGAAGAAUUAGAUAAUUGGUGAUAUAGGUCAGUGAUUCUCGACCAGGGGUCUGGGACCCCCUGGGGGAGCAUGAGCAGGUUUCAAGGGGUCUGCCAAGCAGGGCCGGCAUUAGGUUUGCUGGAGCCUGGGGCAGAAAGACAAAGCCCCACCACAAGGGGCUGAAGCCCGGGGCCCCGAGCCCUGCCACCUAAGGAUGAAGCUGAAGCCUGAGCAACUUAGCUUUGUGGGGCCCCAGGCAGUUGUCCUGCUUGCCACCCCCUAAUGCUGGUCUUGGCUUUUAUAUGCAGAAUAACAGUUGUUGUGGCACAAGUGGAGUUUUAUACCAUGUUGGGGGGGGCCUCAGAAAGAAAAAGGUUGAGAACCCCUAAUAUAGGUGACUAUGUUGAGAGUACCCAGAGCUCUCUUUAUUUAAUGGAAUACAAGAAGUGAUUGCACGAGAAAUUACCUACUUCAGCUAGAUCUACAUUCUGGGAUGGUGCCAAGGUUACUUAGCAUCUGUUGAGAUCAAGGACAAUGCAUUGCUGCCCAAGUAGCUUAUGUAUAUAAUCACAGACUGAUUGUCUAAGUGCAGUGGUAUUCUUUGAUCAGAUAUCUGGAAGGAUUAGAUAGGGUCUUUCUGGAGGUCUAGCUUUGUAACCGAUAAUUCUAAAAUACUUUUAGUUAUUUCUGGUCAGGGGAGGGGGCAGUGCUUCUCCCUGCUAUGCAAAAGAACUCCAGCAUGCCUGUAAAAUGCCAGCAGUGAUAAAUACUGCAAAUGAAG